AACCUUGGGCCUGGUUGGCCGGUCCGCCUCACCGCGUGCACUGGUCCGACCGGGUCUUUCCUUAUGGGGAGCCGCAUGCCCUUCACUGGGUGUGUCGGGGAACCAGGACUUUUACUUUGAAAAAAUUAGAGUGUUCAAAGCAGGCCUAUGCUCGAAUACAUUAGCAUGGAAUAAUAGAAUAGGACGUGUGGUUCUAUUUUGUUGGUUUCUAGGACCGCCGUAAUGAUUAAUAGGGAUAGUCGGGGGCAUCAGUAUUCAAUUGUCAGAGGUGAAAUUCUUGGAUUUAUUGAAGACUAACUACUGCGAAAGCAUUUGCCAAGGAUGUUUUCAUU
rnacentral:rRNA from 1 species